rnacentral:lncRNA from 1 species
UAUAGAAAGAGGAGAGAACGGAAAUCAAGGGGACAAGUAGCCAUUCUGCCACCUCCCACGCAGGACUUGACAACCUAGCUCCUGCUGGCGCUGCUGCCUCCCUGCGGAGCCUGUGUGUCCCAGCGGCUGGUCUGCCGGGUGCCUCCCGGGCCGGUCUUCCACGUGCGGCAGGCCCUCUUCCUGGAGAAGGUUUCGGCUCCCACAGAUCUGCACAGACCCUGGUCAUCCUUAAAGCCCAGCUGAAGCCCUCCUGUUCCAGGCAGCCGGCCCUAACGCCCUCAUUUGAGACAGCCACUCCCUGCUCAUGGCUCCUGACGAAACUCUUCCUUCCUCUGCUCUCGCACACCUGAACUUCGCAAGAACUUUGAGCAUCCCUUUCAAAUGGAGGGGCUGGAUCCUGCAGAGGAAAGUGAGAAGACCAGUGACAAACUGGGAGAAGCUGUUUUCUGCAAACGUAAUGAAGGAAGAUCCACGCCCCAGUGCGCAGACAGCGUCACGCUAAGGGCCCCGUGAAAGGAAGGGCAGGAAGAGGCUGAGCUGCUCUGCAGGGAGACGCAGUCGGGAGGGCCCAGACACCCUCCCACCACCAGCGGCCACGGAGGGCGCGUCAAAGUCACGGGAGAUGCAAUUACAUCCCUUUAAUUGGCAAAAACGACAAAUCGGAAGGCGGAUGACCUUGGGUGGGGGAGCAGGAGAGCAGAACACAGGAGCUGGGUUCGGUGCGGGCUGCUGCCAGCACACAGCCCCACAGCGCCGGUGGGUUUCUGGGUGCUUAUUACUUUAUAAAUAACAUGCUAAGGAUGCCUGUUAGUUCCCUGUGGCUGCCCUAACAAAUUAUGACAAAAUGGGUGGCUUAAAA